AUAUAUAUAUAUAUGUUUGAAAUCAAUCUCUCUUUCUCUCUCUCUAUGCCCUUCCUUUCCACAACACACACACACACACACACAUAUAUCAAAUUAUUGUCUUUUUUCCCAAAGCUGCCGUCGUGAUAUACAUAGCAGCAGCUGCUCAGGAUGAUCGUCUCUCCUCCUCAAUCCCCUUUUGCAAGCUGAGAGUGAGAGUGAGAGUGGAGUCGUGGACGACCCACCCCAUCAUUUCCGUGUAUCAUUGCAUUUGCAUGCGUCAAUCAUCUCAAAAGCACAAUGCAAUCAACAGAAAGAAUAAAGCUGCAAAGAAUCUUCGAAAAGAGGAGAUAGAUAGGACUCGAUUGACUGACGGUUGCUAGAGGAAGAUGUCAAGUAGAGAGCUUGUCCCCUGUCAAACGUCCGUCUAUGCACUCCAAGGUUGCCAGUAUUGUCACCAUCUUGAACGAGCAAAUUCAUGUACAAUUGAAGAAGAAAGUGAGAAUAAGUAGGAAGGAGCACGGUGGCAUAUUGAUCAGAAGUGGUUGUUGUCGGAGGGGAUGAUUAAUUCAAGCGCUUGGGAUCACGAGUUUUGUUGAGGUCUGAGGAGGAGAACAUGAUUGGGGCAUCCCAUCCGGCACCAAAGGCGACAGACUGA